rnacentral:piRNA from 1 species
GCCUUGAGGAAAACGAGUGGUCCAGAUA